rnacentral:ncRNA from 1 species
AUUAAAGUUAUGAAGCGGAGUAGUAAAGGAAAAAAUAGUCGUCAAGAGAGCUGCAUAUAUGGUGGAAUUGCAGUGACUACGUUCUUUGAACUCGCCGUGGAGCCGCUGAUAUAAAAAUCAGCCGUAUGUCUUUCGUUACAGGACUUUUGAGUGAGCCCCAGGGCUAACAAGAGUGGUACCGCGGAUUAACCCGUCUCUUUU